AGAUUGAACGCUGGCGGCAGGCCUAACACAUGCAAGUCGAGCGGCAGCACGGGUACUUGUACCUGGUGGCGAGCGGCGGACGGGUGAGUAAUGCCUAGGAAUCUGCCUGAUAGUGGGGGAUAACGUUCGGAAACGGACGCUAAUACCGCAUACGUCCUACGGGAGAAAGUGGGGGAUCUUCGGACCUCACGCUAUCAGAUGAGCCUAGGUCGGAUUAGCUAGUUGGUAGGGUAAAGGCCUACCAAGGCUACGAUCCGUAACUGGUCUGAGGGGAUGACCAGUCACACUGGAACUGAGACACGGUCCAGACUCCUACGGGAGGCAGCAGUGGGGAAUAUUGGACAAUGGGCGAAAGCCUGAUCCAGCCAUGCCGCGUGUGUGAAGAAGGUCUUCGGAUUGUAAAGCACUUUAAGUUGGAGAAGGCAUUAACCUAAUACGUUAGUGUUUGACGUUACGACAGAAUAAGCACCGGCUAACUCUGUGCCAGCAAGCCGCGGUAA
rnacentral:rRNA from 1 species